GACGAACGCUGGCGGCGUGCUUAACACAUGCAAGUCGAGCGGUAAGGCCCUUUCGGGGGUACACGAGCGGCGAACGGGUGAGUAACACGUGGGUGACCUGCCCUCAGCUCUGGGAUAAGCCUGGGAAACCGGGUCUAAUACCGGAUAUGACUCCAUGACGCAUGUUGUGGGGUGGAAAGCCUUGUGCGGCUGAGGAUGGGCCCGCGGCCUAUCAGCUUGUUGGUGGGGUGAUGGCCUACCAAGGCGACGACGGGUAGCCGGCCUGAGAGGGCGACCGGCCACACUGGGACUGAGACACGGCCCAGACUCCUACGGGAGGCAGCAGUGGGGAAUCUUGCGCAAUGGGGCGAAAAGCCUGACGCAGCGACGCCGCGUGA
rnacentral:rRNA from 1 species